GUGGGGAAUCUUGGACAAUGGGCGAAAGCCUGAUCCAGCCAUGCCGCGUGAGUGAAGAAGGCCUUAGGGUUGUAAAGCUCUUUUACCCGGGAAGAUAAUGACGGUACCGGGAGAAUAAGCCCCGGCAAACUUCGUGCCAGCAGCCGCGGUAAUACGAAGGGGGCUAGCGUUGUUCGGAUUUACUGGGCGUAAAGCGCACGUAGGCGGAUUGUUAAGUCGGGGGUGAAAUCCUGGAGCUCAACUCCAGAAUUGCCUUCGAUACUGGCUUUCUAGAGGCUGGAAGAGGUUAGUGGAAUUCCCAGUGUAGAGGUGAAAUUCGUAGAUAUUGGGAAGAACACCAGUGGCGAAGGCGGCUAACUGGUCCAGAUCUGACGCUGAGGUGCGAAAGCGUGGGGAGCAAACAGGAUUAGAAACCCUUGUAGUCC
rnacentral:rRNA from 1 species